rnacentral:rRNA from 1 species
CUUAAGCAUAUCAAUAAGCGGAGGAAAGAAAACCAACAGGGAUUGCCCUAGUAACGGCGAGUGAAGCGGCAACAGCUCAAAUUUGAAAUCUGGCGCAAGCCCGAGUUGUAAUUUGUAGAGGAUGCUUCUGGGCAGCGGCCGGUCUAAGUUCCUUGGAACAGGACGUCAUAGAGGGUGAGAAUCCCGUAUGCGACCGGUUGUGCACCCUACACGUAGCUCCUUCGACGAGUCGAGUUGUUUGGGAAUGCAGCUCUAAAUGGGAGGUAAAUUUCUUCUAAAGCUAAAUACCGGCCAGAGACCGAUAGCGCACAAGUAGAGUGAUCGAAAGAUGAAAAGCACUUUGGAAAGAGAGUUAAAAAGCACGUGAAAUUGUUGAAAGGGAAGCGCAUGCAACCAGACUUGUCGACGGUGUUCCCCCGGUCUUCUGACCGGGUCACUCGCCGCCGACAGGCCAGCAUCAUCUGGGACCGCCGGAUAAAGGCCACGGGAAUGUAGCUCCUCGGAGUAUUAUAGCCCGCGGCACAAUACGGCGCGCCCCGGGUGAGGUCCGCGCUUCGGCUAGGAUGCUGGCGUAAUGGUCGUAUGCGGCCCGUCUUGAAACACGGACCAAGGAGUCUACCAUCUAUGCGAGUGUUCGGGUGUUAAACCCCUACGCGGAAUGAAAGUGAACGGAGGUGGGACCCGCAAGGUGCACCAUCGACCGAUCCUGAUGUCUUCGGAUGGAUUUGAGUAAGAGCAUAGCUGGUGGGACCCGAAAGAUGGUGAACUAUGCCUGAAUAGGGUGAAGCCAGAGGAAACUCUGGUGGAGGCUCGCAGCGGUUCUGACGUGCAAAUCGAUCGUCAAAUUUGGGUAUAGGGGCGAAAGACUAAUCGAACCAU